rnacentral:rRNA from 1 species
GAUGAACGCUGGCGGCGUGCCUAAUACAUGCAAGUCGAGCGAACAGAUAAGGAGCUUGCUGCUUUGACGUUAGCGGCGGACGGGUGAGUAACACGUGGGUAACCUACCUAUAAGACGGGGAUAACUUCGGGAAACCGGCGCUAAUACCGGAUAACAUUUGGAACCACAUGGUUCUAAGGUGAAAGAUGGUUUUGCUAUCACUUAUAGAUGGACCCGCGCCGUAUGAGCUAGUUGGUAAGGUAACGGGUUACCAAGGCAAGGAUUCGUGUCCGAAGUGCGAGAGUGAUCGCCGACACUGGACGUGGAACACGGUCACUACUCCUACGGGAGGCAGCAGUAGCGUAUCUUCGGCAAUGGGCGGAAGCCUGACGGAGCAGCGCCGCGUCAGUUAUGAAGGGUCCGGGUUCGGAAAAAUCUGCUAUUAGGGAAGAACAGCUGUGUAAGUAGCCGUGCACUUCUUGACGGUAACUAAUCAGGAAGCCACGGCUAACUACGUG